rnacentral:tRNA from 2 species
GCUUUCUUAGCUCAGUAGGUAGAGCACCACCAUGGUAAGGUGGGGGUCAUCAGUUCGAAUCUGAUAGAAAGCU